CCACGUCCCGUCGCAAUCCCCCCCCGGCGCCGGGACCUCCCCGAGCCGGACUUCGGCGCCCCUCCCCCCCCGGGCGCCGGAGUCCGGCUUCUUC
rnacentral:ncRNA from 1 species